GAAGCGGAGCGCGAGCGCCCAGCCCCUAGCGGAGGCCGAAGGGGCCGGGAGGGCGGCAGCGGGACCUGGCGCGGCUUGCGGCGACCUCGGCGACCAGGCCGACUCUGCUGGACGAUCUACCGCCGCUUUCACAGCCUUCCACAUUUUUCCAAGAGUAGCAGAAAAUGAAGAAAUCCCUGGGUCCAGUGUCAUUCAAAGAUGUGGCUGUGGACUUCACCCAGGAAGAGUGGCAGCAGCUGGAUGCCGAUGAGAAGAUGACAUACAGGG